CCAGAUUAUGCCUCGUGUGCCUGGAAAAAUGAUAAGAGCAGACGUCUUCCUUGUUACCCGGGCCUCUGAUAACAAGCCCUCCUCUGUGCUUUCUUUUGGGAAGUUAUCUCUGAAGCCCUCAUGGGCUGAGGCCUCCUCCCAAGGUGAGCGCUGUCCCCUCUCUAUCCUGCCGGCUGCUCCCCGAGUGAACUCCCGUGUCUGAGGAAGGGCUAUUAUAAUUCCACUCGAAAGUGGCUGCAUUCGUCUUCAUCUCUCGGAAGUCACGUUUCCCUUGCCCUUGCGUUGAAGGCUUCUGAUGUUCAAUUACUCUUCCAUCUCCACACUGCCUGUGUCUCCAUUCAGCCUGCUGUCCCAAAAACAAUUAGACCGAGAAAAUGCUGCAGCUUGGAGGAACCAAGGCUAAUGAGGCCAGUGAGAAAAGGUUUCCCAAGCACUUUCAAACGUUGAGGCUUUUCUAAAAUAUGUUAUUUUUUUUCUUUGUUAAAAAGAAUUCUCUAAUGUGUUAGAUCACUAGCAUGUUCUACUCGCAGGGUCGGUGCUGCAGUUAAAGAGCCAAUCAGACAGAACUGCUUUACGACAAAAAAAGGACAGUCCAAACCCACAAAAUGUGGCCUAUUUAAAAAUGAACGGUCUGUGUAGAAAUGGCCCAAGAUUUUCAGUGUGGAAAGUCCAGAUCAGGUGUUUUACUUAAAAAAAAAUUUUUGGUUUAUUUAUUUUGAGAGAGAGACAGAGAGAGAAUCCCAAGCAGAGCCCGCUGCGUGCUUCGAACUCAUGAACCGUGAGACCAUGACCUGAGCCAAAAUCAAGAGUUGGACACUUAACCGACUGAGCCGCCCAGGAGCCCCAGCCAGUGUGUAUCAAAUUUAAAGCUGUCGUGAACAUGAAUGAGUUAAUGUCUGUGCCGGUCUUUGACUUCUGCAUGAAAGCACUGAAAAUUUGUUGUAUUAUUGUCAUCGUUUCACCUGCACUGAGGAAGCUCUAAAGUGGCGUUUGCUUCUACCCUUCAAAUACCAACAGAGAUUACUGUAAGUACAUCAAACAAAUGGAAAUGGCAUAGAAGAGGGAAGAAAAGAAGAUGGGAGGUAGCAGGGUAUAAUUACUUAAUAUCAGUCUCAGAGCUGCAGGUGGCAUCUACUCAGAAUAAGCUAAGGAGACAUAACCUGUGCUCUUUGAGAUUUUACCAAGUCACAUCAGAUAACCCCAGACAGAUCAAAAAAACAAAAGAAAACAAAGAAUCCAUAAACAUUAUGCUCAAGAAAAGGCACAGAUCUACUGGGAGGAAUAAGGGGUCAUGAAGGACUAUUACUAAACAUCUCACUUCUUUCUUAUCCCUGGAGGAAGAGACUCAAAGAGUGGCAUAUGUGGG